rnacentral:rRNA from 1 species
CCUACGGGAGGCAGCAGUGGGGAAUAUUGCACAAUGGGGGAAAGUCUGAUGCAGCGACGCCGCGUGAGGGAAGAAGGAUUUCGGAAUGUAAAGCUCUAUCAGGAGGGAAGAAAAUGAAGGGAGCUGAUCAAGAAUCCGCGGCUAACUACGUGCCAGCAGCCGCGGUAAUACGGAGGGGGCAAGCGUUAUCCGGAUUUACUGGGGGUAAAGGGAGCGUAGACGGCAGCACAAGUCUGGAGUGAAAUGCCUGGGCUUAACCCCGGAACUGCUUUGGAAACUGUGCAGCUAGAGUGCAGGAGAGGUAAGUGGAAUUCCUAGUGUAGCGGUGAAAUGCGUAGAUAUUAGGAGGAACACCAGUGGCGAAGGCGGCUUACUGGACUGUAACUGACGUUGAGGCUCGAAAGCGUGGGGAGCAAACAGGAUUAGAUACCCCAGUAGUC